AACGCGAAGAACCUUACCUGGCCUUGACAUCCAGAGAACUUAGCAGAGAUGCCUUGGUGCCUUCGGGAACUCUGAGACAGGUGCUGCAUGGCUGUCGUCAGCUCGUGUUGUGAAAUGUUGGGUUAAGUCCCGCAACGAGCGCAACCCUUAUCCUUUGUUGCCAGCGGUUCGGUCGGGAACUCAAAGGAGACUGCCGGUGAUAAACCGGAGGAAGGUGGGGAUGACGUCAAGUCAUCAUGGCCCUUACGGCCAGGGCUACACACGUGCUACAAUGGCGCAUACAAAGAGAAGCGACCUCGCGAGAGCAAGCGGACCUCAUAAAGUGCGUCGUAGUCCGGAUUGGAGUCUGCAACUCGACUCCAUGAAGUCGGAAUCGCUAGUAAUCGUAGAUCAGAAUGCUACGGUGAAUACGUUCCC
rnacentral:rRNA from 1 species